CCGGGUGUGGCGAAGUUUGGUAUCGCGCUUGGUUCGGGACCAAGAGGCCGUGGGUUCAAGUCCCGCCACUCGGACCA
rnacentral:tRNA from 2 species